AUCUAAGUCAAGAAUGAAAAAGACUAACUGUUUUGAGUGCGGGGAGCAAGAACACUAUAUAGAAAGACUGCCCCAAGUUGAAAAAUAAAAUGGAAAUCCAACCAGAAAGUUCUGCGAAUAUGGUUGACCGUUUUAUCGAUUCUAAUGGUGAUGACGGUGCUGAAGAAAUUUUAUCCAUGAGUUCAAAUCAUAGACAAAAUUCCUAGAUUCUUAAUACUGGUGCUACUUAUAACAUGCGUCCACACAGAAACUGAUUUGUCACUUACAAACAGAUGAG
rnacentral:misc_RNA from 1 species